CCAUUCACUCCUUUAACAUGGGUGACUAUUAUUGCUACCUUGGUCUGCUUACUUGACUGGGAGCAAAGCUAUUGUCGGUUUUUUCACGCACUGCCAUGGUUUCUCAGAUUCCUGUCAUUGGUCUGCCUACUGGUGAGUGCAAGAUGUUGAGACUGGGACUGGCUGUGCGGGGAGCAAUCAGGCAUGUGGCAGGUGGAGCCUCAGUAAGGCAAGCCAGUACCUCAGGUGACAACCUCCAGCAAACAGUUCUCUACAACUUCCAUGUUAAUCAUGGUGGCAAGAUGGUGGGGUUUGCUGGAUAUGCCAUGCCGGUGCAGUAUGGAUCAGUGGGCAUUGGGGUGUCCCACAAGACUGUGCGGAGCAGCUGUGGGCUUUUUGAUGUGUCACACAUGCUUCAGUGGCGCCUGUGGGGGGCCGACAGGGUGAAGUUCAUUGAGAGACUUGUGGUAGCUGAUGUGGAAGGGCUGCCUGAGAACACAGGAACCCUCUCUCUGCUGACCAACCCAGAGGGAGGCAUAGUGGACGACCUCAUUAUCUCUCGCACCAGCCAGAGUCACCUGUAUGUGGUGAGCAAUGCCGGAUGCCGGGACAAGGACUUGACACACUUGAGGAACCAUCUGGCGCAGUUCAAGGCUGAGGGAGGAGAUGUUCACAUGGAGAUCAUUACAGACCAUGGACUUAUUGCACUCCAGGGACCCUUAGCUGCAUCCAUCCUUGAGCCACUGGUGGAGGGCACUGUGGAAGACUUGUACUUCAUGCAGACACGCCCCAUGAUUGUCGCUGGCACCCCAUGCAGGGUGACUCGCUGCGGCUACACUGGGGAGGAUGGCUUUGAGAUAUCUGUGCCUUCAGGCAAGGCAGAAGAGUUGUGUGAGACCCUGUUGGGAAGUGGUGCUGAGCCAGCUGGCCUGGGGGCACGGGACUCCCUCAGACUGGAGGCUGGUCUCUGCCUGUAUGGAAAUGACAUUGAUGACACCACCACCCCAAUUGAGGCAGGUCUAGCUUGGACCAUCGGCAAACGGAGGAGACAGGUGGCAGACUUCCUUGGUGCUGAGAUCAUCCUACGGCAGCUUAAAGAGAAGCCAGCACGACGGCGUGUGGGCCUGACCUGCUCAGGUCCUCCCCCUCGCACUCACUGCCCUGUUCUAGGUCCUGAUGGUUCCAAAGUGGGUGAGGUGACCAGUGGCUGCCCGUCCCCAUCUCUUGGUGUGAAUGUGGCCAUGGCCUACAUCCCAGCAUCCCUGGCUAAGGUAGGCACUGAGCUGGCUGUGGAGGUGCGGAAGAAGACCAUCCCAGCUACUGUCACCAAGAUGCCGUUCGUCAAGUGCAAUUACUAUGUGAAGAAGUAGUGCCUCUGCCUCUGUGUGUGUGUGUGUGGUGGCCAAGGGUGAAGGCUUGUGCUUCCUGGCCAGUAAAAAGUGUAAGGGCUGCACUAGUGCUGAAGAGAUCCCUGUGUUACUUGAAGAAGGAUGGUGUGCACCAAGCAGUCACUUGGCAGUGUGGUGAUGCAGUGGCAUGGUGUCCACACCACUAGCUGUUUCCUCCAUGAUACUCCUGCCACCAGGCUCAAAGGUAAAUAACUCAAGAGUAUUUAGCUAUUUUUUUAUAAUCUCAUGUUUGAGGAUAGCAUUUAUUGUCUGCAGUUUCUCCUAGCUGUCAAGUUUCCCUGUAGGCCCAGUUCUCCACCGACUGGAUUAGGUAAUAUUUGAUACUGCUUUAAAUUAAGUGUAGAAAGAUGAGGUUUGUAUUGAACCCAUCACUUUUUUUGGCUUACAAAACUGUUGAUGGCUCAGGGGGAAAAAGGGUAUAUGAUUUUAUCUGAAACUAAUUCAUUGUGUGGACUUGUGGAGGAGUGCUAUGUGUGCCAUUGAUAACAUGUAGUACAGUUUGAGUGUGUGAAAUCAUUUAGAUUUCUGGCUCAUGGGCAGUCUGACAGUUACAGGUUGAGACACUUUACUCUUUCUCUCCCUCUCUCUUUCCCUCAUAACAACCUCAAACUGAGAUUUUUACUUUUACCAUUUCAAAGUGGUCCUUACUUCUCUCAGGUCUGCUUUUCUUUAAUAUUAUGUCUUGAUGCAUACACACUUAGUUCAUUUGCCAGUUCAUUUGCCUUGCAUUAAAACUUUGCAAGAGGCAGAUAAAUUUGUAUAUUGAACACUACAGGUUUUGAAGUACAUAUAUGGUUGUGAUAGCUUGUGAGGCUGUGACAGUGUAGCUAUAGUUGUUAAUGCUCAAUUUAUCUCAUGGAAAUGUAGAAAUUUGGCUUACACAAAGGAUGCUGAAAGCUAAAGAUAUGUUCCAGAAGAAACUGAGAUGGACCAGUGUUUAUUGUCAAUAAAUUAUAUUACAUCUUAAAACUAUGUAAUGUGAGAAACAGUCAAGGGACAAAGAACAUGUUGCUUCAGUGAUUGUUUGUCUUGCAGGCCUGUGAACCUGCCUGGUCAGCUCAGGCACUGAACAAUCUAUCAUAUUUCAAUUGGCAGCUCAUCUCAGACACUUAAGUUAUUAGUAAAAUCAUGAUAGUUGAAAUCUGAGAGGUUAUGUAUCAUGAUCUGUAUUGUUCCCUGUAAGAAAGUUGUUAGAAACAAAUAUUUUAUGUUUAUAUUCUCUAAAGUUGUCAGCUAUCUCAUGGAAUAAGAAAAAUAUAGAUAUGAUGUCAUCAAAUUAAAAUAUAAAAUGCAAGUAAUUAUUCUGUAAAAGCAAUAGCAAUGAUGAAGGAAUAUUUCAGGUUGCUUGAGUGAUAAAAACAAAUAGUAUGAUUAAGAAAACAUUUCUGAAAUAAAAAAAAUAGAAAAUAAAAAAAUAAAUAAAUAAUAUGAAUUUGCUCUUUGUAGUAUUCAACUCUAGAAACUGGUGGCAGCAGUGGAAGAUCAAAGUAAAGGAGAAAGAAAAACUCAGUUAAGCCAAAGUCAAUGAGUCUUUAAGGGGAAACCUGAUUCCUACAAAUUGUUUUUGCUCAUCCAAUCUUCCAAUCUGGGACUCCUUUGUGGUAAUCACUGAGGUUAGCAAAGAUAAUCCUAGGCUUCAGUUAGAGACAGGCCAACUAAUUUGGAUCCAAAAGUCUGUGUGGGCAAUACCUGUGUAAUUAAUCAACUUUGGUUAGUUUCUUUCUGAUUCAAAGUGUAGCACAACACUUUAUUAUUUUAUUCCCUCUCACCCAUCUCAAAGAAUCCACCAGCACGAGUAGUAGCUUAGUGUAUAAUAUUCUUUUCAUUCUUUUUGACGAAACUCCCAUGUCCCCAUUUUCUUGAAGUUAUAUGGUGUUCUCUUAUAACCAUUUCUAGCCACCUAAUUGUCUGUGCAAGAUGUAAACAGAAUCCUUGCUCCAUUUUAUCUUGUUCUCUCAUAUUACAUGUAGCAGUAGUAGUGCAUUAUUUCACUCUUACUCAUUGUAGACUAACAGUUUUCCUCAUCUGUUCUUCCCAUGUAAUCUAGGGUUGGUCUUGAAUCAAACAGAAUUCCUUGAAGGAGUUGGCUGAGAUGAUGUGAUAGCUGAAAUAGAUUAUAUUUAAAUAAUUUUGGUAGCAACUUUAAAUGUCUAGAAAAUAACCCUCUGUGAAACCUUAUGGUGCAUAUGCUGUACCUGUACCUAUAUCAAGCUCUCAAAUUUGAGUUACUGUAUGUAGUACAUUAAAAUUACUUUAAGAAAAUGGAUUAAGAAGACAUGCUUUUUCAGUGCUUGUAGGAGCAUUAUGACAGCAGAGUUGAUUAUGAUGUGGAUUCACUCAAACUACACCUGUACUAGUGAGCCCCAAGAGGAGGUUAUCAUAUCACUGCAGUAUGCAAGUGUUCUGGAAUGUAUCUCACAGUUUUAUAUUUUUAUGAAUUAUAUAAGCAAAUCAUGAGUAUAGCAAGUACUAAAUGUCCUGCUUUCUAGUCACUGUUUUGCUUAAAGCUGUCACCAGGCAAUGUGGGUUCUUGCAAACUAAAUAAAAUAUUCUUGUUGGUAGAAAAUCUUUUUAUUACAAAGAUAUGUAGGUAGUAAAACCAACUUCCAUUGAUUGAACAAGGAAAUAUUAAUUGCAGUAGGUCAACAAUGAUGCAUUUUCCUUGUACUUUUGUGAGGUCAGGGAUGUACACACUGGUACCUAUAUUUUGUAACCAUAAGAUCCAAAUAAGUGAUGGGAAAAAAAAUAAAAAUAAAAUAAAAAAACCCAGCUGUGAAACAAGUAUGGUUCUUUGCUUUUGUAUAAAUAUUGAGUAAAGAUUUACAAAUGCAGGAUGAAAAAGUAAACAGAAUCACUGAAUACAUAACAACUUGUAGUGGGAUAUGGAAAGGUUGGACAUUUGGUGCAGGUAGUGGGUGAAGCUGUUGAGAAACCGAGGAAACAACACAUUUGCCUGCCAACCUGAAAGAACAAUUCUUCUCCCUUUAUCUCAUAGCUGGGUGACACUUGGCCUCUCCCUUCUGAAGGUCAUCAUUGGAUGGAUCUGUUUCUGAUGCCCCUAAAGCUCUGUCAAUCUCUCCUGAUUUGUCCUAUCCCUACCUCUCACUUUUAUAUUUCUCCUCCCUCUGUAACUAUCCUAUGGCUUGCAUGGUAGUGGCAGUAGUGGUGCAGAGAGAGAGAGAGAGAGAGAGAGAGAGAGAGAGAGAGAGAGAGAGAGAGAGAGAGAGAGAGAGAGAGAGAGAGAGAGAGAGAGAGAGAGAGAGA